CAUCUUUUUCUCCUGUGCUCCUCUGAACAAGGGUAGAAGCCUCCACAGCUCCUACACCUCCUGAUCUCCACAGCCCCAAAGCCAACGACGAGUCGUUUAUCAUCAACACUUGUCUUAGUAGUCCAACUGGCACUGAAUAACCUUCUUGGAAACAUUGGAGUAUUCUUCUUGUUCGGUGUCCUCAUUGUCACAAUAGACUAUGCAUCCAAGUCUCUGAUAGGUGGGUCAAAUCCUUGCCAAUAGUUUUGUGGGUGCUCAAAACCUUUCCAUGGGUUAUGGGUUAGUGCCAUGAACCGGGGUUUUUUAGCAGGGGCAAGUGCAGGGAGGCAUUGAACCCAUACAAGUUUGACAAGCAGUUGACAAACCCAUCACGAUUUGGACGGAGGGUCAUGUGCAAGUAUUUGGAGGAAAAACGCCGUCUAUUUUGUAAUGAAAUAUUUAUGUAUCGUUCUUUUCAUAGGGUGAACGCUAUUGUUUUUACGUACCUUUUAUUAGAGGAAAAAAAAUAUGAGUUCGUGCGUGAUGCACAGGUUUUUUCUUAGAACUAGCUAAAUGGCUGGGUUGAAGCUAUUAGAAUCAGGAGGGUUGUCAUUUUUUAGUUCUUGGAGAUGCCUUGUGGAGUAAUUGUUUGCACCAACAUCCUAUUGUUCUCCACUAAUUGAGUCUUAGUUGCACUUUUGGAGUUGCUUCUUGCUUCACCAGUGGCGGUAGCUCUUCCAUUGCUUUUUCCAGCAGGCGGAGUGAUGAGAUUCCCUCCAACAACACUGGUGGAUCUAUGUUUUCUUGGACAUUAAUAUCUGAAAGGCUUAACAAAAAUACCGCGACACUAGAAGGAUAAUUUGAUGACAAUUGUAGUUCUUUUUUUUAUGACAAAUGUAGUUAAAAUUCAGUUAUGGAGACAAACAAUGAUAUGGCAAAUGCUGCCUUUUUGUGAA